CGGAAGGGUAUUUUUGUCCAA
rnacentral:snRNA from 1 species